rnacentral:rRNA from 1 species
GACGAACGCCGGCGGCGUGCUUAACACAUGCAAGUCGAACGAAGAGCGAUGGAAGCUUGCUUCUAUCAAUCUUAGUGGCGAACGGGUGAGUAACGCGUAAUCAACCUGCCCUUCAGAGGGGGACAACAGUUGGAAACGACUGCUAAUACCGCAUACGAUCUAAUCUCGGCAUCGAGGAUGGAUGAAAGGUGGCCUCUAUUUAUAAGCUAUCACUGAAGGAGGGGAUUGCGUCUGAUUAGCUAGUUGGAGGGGUAACGGCCCACCAAGGCGAUGAUCAGUAGCCGGUCUGAGAGGAUGAACGGCCACAUUGGGACUGAGACACGGCCCAGACUCCUACGGGAGGCAGCAGUGGGGAAUCUUCCGCAAUGGACGAAAGUCUGACGGAGCAACGCCGCGUGAGUGAUGACGGCCUUCGGGUUGUAAAGCUCUGUUAAUCGGGACGAAAGGCCUUCCUGCGAAUAGUUAGAAGGA